AUGACCCCCUUUUAACCUAACCCCGCUUGGAAACGCUAAGUGUGAAGCGGGUCAGCUUGGUAUACCGUCGCCGAUAGAUCACCCUAUGAGGGGCUUAAAGUGGUCGGGAAGAGAAGCCAAAAGUUGUAGGUUGUAAUUAUAUCUACGAGUAAAUUGUGGCUGAAACUUGUUAUGCUGAGGGGCCUAAGGGUACAUCAGUCGAUAUCUAUCUCAGGUAGCCAUAUCUAAGGUGCAUCUAUAUGGCGAGUGUGAUAGUAUGGGUACAAAUAACUAAUUUAGAUAUACGGAUAUAUCGCUGUAUUGUGGAAUAUAUAGGCGGACWUGGAUGUAAUGUURAAUUURGAAAUAUAAGUGAACAUAGGGUAUGGGAAAUGUGUCC
rnacentral:rRNA from 1 species